UUGGUGUCUGGUUCUUGUUGUCAACCUGCUU
rnacentral:piRNA from 1 species